rnacentral:rRNA from 1 species
GAGUUUGAUCCUGGCUCAGAACGAACGCUGGCGGCGUGCUUAACACAUGCAAGUCGAACGCGAACGAGUUCUUCGGAACUUUAGUAGAGUGGCGCACGGGUGAGUAACGCGUAAGUAAUCUACCCUCGCAUUUGGGAUAACCCACCGAAAGGUGUGCUAAUACCAGAUACGUCUAAGAUAAUGUCUUUUUUUAGAGAAAGGUAGGCUUCUGAUUCAAGCUACUGUGCGGGGAGGGAGCUUGCGUACCAUUAGCUAGUUGGUAGGGUAAUGGCCUACCAAGGCAAUGAUGGUUAGCGGGUCUGAGAGGAUGAUCCGCCACACUGGAACUGAAACGCGGACCAGACUCCUACGGGAGGCAGCAGUGAGGAAUAUUGCGCAAUGGGGGCAACCCUGACGCAGCGACGCCGCGUGGAUGAUGAAGGCCUUCGGUU